AGUGAACGCUGGCGGCAGGCCUAAUACAUGCAAGUCGAACGGCAGCACAGUGGAGCUUGCUCCAUGGGUGGCGAGUGGCGGACGGGUGAGGAAUACAUGGGAAUCUGCCCAGUCGUGGGGAUAACGUAUGGAAACGUACGCUAAUACCGCAUGCGCCCUUCGGGGGAAAGUCGGGGACCGCAAGGCCUGACGCGAUUGGAUGAGCCCAUGUUCGAUUAGCUAGUUGGCGGGAAACGGCCCACCAAGGCGACGAUCGAUAGCUGGUCUGAGAGGAUGAUCAGCCACACUGGAACUGAGACAGGUCCCAGACUCCUACGGGAGGCAGCCAG
rnacentral:rRNA from 1 species